UGAGGAACAUGACUUUCGGUGGGGGAGUAGCCGGCCCAACGGCCGGGUAAUACCGCGUACGACCACUUUGGGACAUCCCUCGGUGGUGAAAGCAGCAAUGCGCCGAUGGAGUGCCUCGCGGCCUAUCAGCUAGUUGGUGAGGUAACGGCUCACCAAGGCGACGACGGGUAGCUGGUCUGAGAGGAUGGCCAGCCACAUUGGGACUGAGACACGGCCCAGACUCCGUACGGGGAGCAG
rnacentral:rRNA from 1 species